AACGUCCGUCGUGAAGAGGGAAACAACCCAGACCGCCAGCUAAGGUCCCAAAGUCAUGGUUAAGUGGGAAACGAUGUGGGAAGGCCCAGACAGCCAGGAUGUUGGCUUAGAAGCAGCCAUCAUUUAAAGAAAGCGUAAUAGCUCACUGGUCGAGUCGGCCUGCGCGGAAGAUGUAACGGGGCUAAACCAUGCACCGAAGCUGCGGCAGCGACGCUUAUGCGUUGUUGGGUAGGGGAGCGUUCUGUAAGCCUGCGAAGGUGUGCUGUGAGGCAUGCUGGAGGUAUCAGAAGUGCGAAUGCUGACAUAAGUAACGAUAAAGCGGGUGAAAAGCCCGCUCGCCGGAAGACCAAGGGUUCCUGUCCAACGUUAAUCGGGGCAGGGUGAGUCGACCCCUAAGGCGAGGCCGAAAGGCGUAGUCGAUGGGAAACAG
rnacentral:rRNA from 1 species